AAAAUAUUACCUCCAUCCCAAAAUUCUUGUCUUAGAUUUGUCUAGAUACGGAUGUAUCUAACACUAAAACAUGACUAGAUACAUUCGUAUCUAGACAAAUUUAAGACAAGAAUUUUAGGACGGAGGGAGUUCUAA
rfam:Triticum aestivum genome assembly, contig: Triticum_aestivum_CS42_TGACv1_scaffold_250501_3DL